CAGCAGCCGCGGGAAUACGAAGGGGGCUAGCGUUGUUCGGAUUUACUGGGCGUAAAGCGCACGUAGGCGGACUUCUAAGUCAGGGGUGAAAUCCCGGGGCUCAACCCCGGGACUGCCUUUGAUACUGGAAGUCUUGAGUAUGGUAGAGGUAAGUGGAAUUCCGAGUGUAGAGGUGAAAUUCGUAGAUAUUCGGAAGAACACCAGUGGCGAAGGCGGCUUACUGGCUCAUACUGGACGCUGAGGUGCGAAAGCGUGGGGAGCAAACAGGAUUAGAUACCCCCGUAGUCCCUGUCUCUUAUAC
rnacentral:rRNA from 1 species